rnacentral:lncRNA from 1 species
CAGCAAUUGCAGCCACAGCAAGCUGAGCUUCAGAAGGCCCUUCCCCAAAUGGUGUCGGCACCCGAGCAAAACAGUCUAUCCGUCGGAACACCAUAAAGAUAGACCAAGAACAGUCUGUUCAUCAGGUACUUCUGAUGAAAGCUCCUCUCUAGCAACUCAUAGACACCACAUAAGAGGAAAAACAUCUCAAGGAGGAAGAAUAAACGAGAAGAACUGUCUUUACCUGAAAAUGACAACCUAGAACAGACAUGGUGACAAAUGUCUCCAAGUCACACAGGAUGGUCCCGGCUUUGAGUGGUGUGAGGCUCUCCUGUUACUAUUUCCCAUUCCAGCAUUGACAUAUUUUAUUACUAAUUGCUUCUUCAAACCUCAUCAAUGAUCUUUUGCACUUUCUGCAAAGAAAUGUUGAAAGCUUUUAAUGAAGAAAUUAAUUAUGUAUAGUCUUGAAUGCAAAUGAGACUCAUUAAUUGUAGCAUUGAUACCCUCUCCUAGCACAAACUAUGAGAACUGGCAUUAUACAUAUUUAUAAGGUACCGUACAUUUUGACAGAUGCCUGCAGACUGUGAUGAAAAGGUGGUCAAGGUGUCUGAAAGGACGCCUUCUCUCUGACAGAUGCAUGCGCCGCGUUUCGUGAGAAGUUUGGUUUGGUUGUCAGCAAUAGUGACUUUAGAAUGUUGAGACAUGAAAACUUUGGGCAUAAAAUGAAUUUUCCCCCCAAAUGGAAAACUUGAGUGGAGUGGAGAUGAUUGGAACCAGGAUUGACUGUUUCCUGGGAAAAUACGUCUGAGGGUUCUGGUUCCUGCCGUGUGAUUGUGAGCCAUUCUCAUCAAAGCCGGAUGGCGGAGUGUUGGAAUUCGCCUCUUUCAUGCCCGAGAAUAGAGUCAACCUCUGGAUGAUCACCCCUGGGCCACUAGGAAACAACAUUCUGCUUCACAGAGGUCUGUGCUAAACAAAGACCCCAGUAGGGAGAAAGUGGUCACAAUAGUUUGUUGCUUCUCCCAUCAAGAAAUAGUGUUCAUUGGCCCACCCUUCUGAUCUUGGCUUGGUCAUGUGACUUUCAUUGGCCAAUGAGUCCUCAGCCACCAUGAUACAAGCAGAAGACUGCAAAGUGCUUCUUCCCUGGGUUUGCCAUCCCUUGCUUCUGCAGAAAACCUUUCU